rnacentral:rRNA from 1 species
CGCGGUGAAUACGUUCCCGGACCUUGUACACACCGCCCGUCAAGCCAUGGAAGCUGGGUGUACCUAAAGUCGAUAACCGUAAGGAGUCGCCUAGGGUAAAACUAGUAACUGGGGCU